rnacentral:rRNA from 1 species
AGAGUUUGAUCUGGCUCAGGACGAACGCUGGCGGCGUGCUUAACACAUGCAAGUCGAACGAGAAGAGAUGAGAAGCUUGCUUCUUAUCGAUUCGAGUGGCAAACGGGUGAGUAACGCGUAAGCAACCUGCCCUCUAGAUGGGGACAACAGCUGGAAACGGCUGCUAAUACCGAAUACGUUCUUUCUGCCGCAUGGCAGAGGGAAGAAAGGGAGGCUCUUCGGAGCUUUCGCUGGAGGAGGGGCUUGCGUCUGAUUAGCUAGUUGGAGGGGUAACGGCCCACCAAGGCGACGAUCAGUAGCCGGUCUGAGAGGAUGAACGGCCACAUUGGGACUGAGACACGGCCCAGACUCCUACGGGAGGCAGCAGUGGGGAAUCUUCCGCAAUGGACGAAAGUCUGACGGAGCAACGCCGCGUGAACGAUGACGGCCUUCGGGUUGUAAAGUUCUGUUAUACGGGACGAAUGGUACGACGGCCAAUACCCGUCGUAAGUGACGGUACCGUAAGAGAAAGCCACGGCUAACUACGUGCCAGCAGCCGCGGUAAUACGUAGGUGGCAAGCGUUGUCCGGAAUUAUUGGGCGUAAAGGGCGCGCAGGCGGCGUCGUAAGUCGGUCUUAAAAGUGCGGGGCUUAACCCCGUGAGGGGACCGAAACUGCGAUGCUAGAGUAUCGGAGAGGUAAGCGGAAUUCCUAGUGUAGCGGUGAAAUGCGUAGAUAUUAGGAGGAACACCAGUGGCGAAAGCGGCUUUCUGGACGACAACUGACGCUGAGGCUCGAAGGUAUGGGUAGCAAACAGGAUUAGAUACCCUGGUAGUCCAUACCGUAAACGAUGAAUGCUAAGUGUUGGAGGGUUUCCGCCCUUCAGUGCUGCAGCUAACGCAUUAAGCAUUCCGCCUGGGGAGUACGGCCGCGAGGCUGAAACUCAAAGGAAUUGACGGGGGCCCGCACAAGCGGUGGAGCAUGUGGUUUAAUUCGAAGCUACGCGAAGAACCUUACCAGGUCUUGACAUACUAUGCAAAUCUAAGAGAUUAGACGUUCCCUUCGGGGACAUGGAUACAGGUGGUGCAUGGUUGUCGUCAGCCCGUGUCGUGAGAUGUUGGGUUAAGUCCCGCAACGAGCGCAACCCUUAUUAUCAGUUGCCAGCAUUAAGUUGGGCACUCUGGUGAGACUGCCGGUGACAAACCGGAGGAAGGUGGGGAUGACGUCAAAUCAUCAUGCCCCUUAUGACCUGGGCUACACACGUGCUACAAUGGAUGGUACAACGAGUUGCGAACUCGCGAGAGUAAGCUAAUCUCUUAAAGCCAUUCUCAGUUCGGAUUGUAGGCUGCAACUCGCCUACAUGAAGUCGGAAUCGCUAGUAAUCGCGGAUCAGCAUGCCGCGGUGAAUACGUUCCCGGGCCUUGUACACACCGCCCGUCACACCAUGAGAGUUUGUAACACCCAAAGUCGGUGGGGUAACCUUUUAGGAACCAGCCGCCUAAGGUGAGACAGAUGAUUAGGGUGAAGUCGUAACAAGGUAACCGU